CCUACGGGAGGCAGCAGUGGGGAAUAUUGCACAAUGGGGGAAACCCUGAUGCAGCAACGCCGCGUGAGUGAGGAAGUAUUUCGGUAUGUAAAGCUCUAUCAGCAGGGAAUAGAAAAGAAGGUCCCUGAAAAAGAAGCCCCGGCUCACUACGUGCUAGCAGCCGCGGUAAUACGUAGGGGGCAGGCGUUUUCCGGAUUUACUGGAGGUAAACGGGGCGUAGACGGAAAGGCAAGUCAGAAGUGAAAGCCCAAGGCUCAACCAUGGGACUGCUUUUGAAACUGACAAACUAGAGUAAGAGAGAGGUAAGGGGAAGUCCUGGUGUAGCGGUGAAAUGCGUAGAUAUUAGGAGGAACACCAGUGGCGAAGGCGGCUUACUGGAGCGAAACUGACGUUGAGGCACGAAAGCGUGGGGAGCAAACAGGAUUAGAUACCCGAGUAGUC
rnacentral:rRNA from 1 species